rnacentral:misc_RNA from 1 species
AAGUCGUAACAAGGUUUCCGUAGGUGAACCUGCGGAAGGAUCAUUACUGAGUUAUGAAAAAAAGGUCUACGAGCUCUCUUCGGAGGGUGAGGAUUCCUUUUUUCUCCUUCUCUACCCUCUGUUAUUAUUGUCCAAGUUGCUUUGGUAGGGCGGAAUUCUGCCCUACCAGAGGACCUUUUUAAACACUUUGUUAUCCAACAAUUAGGAUGUCUUUUGUCUGAUUCUUAUGACUUGAAUAAGUACAUAAAACUUUCAACAACGGAUCUCUUGGUUCUG